rnacentral:rRNA from 1 species
GACGAACGCUGGCGGCGUGCUUAACACAUGCAAGUCGAACGGAAAGGCCCUGCUUUUGUGGGGUGCUCGAGUGGCGAACGGGUGAGUAACACGUGAGUAACCUGCCCUUGACUUUGGGAUAACUUCAGGAAACUGGGGCUAAUACCGGAUAGGAGCUCCUGUUGCAUGGUGGGGGUUGGAAAGUUUAGGCGGUUGGGGAUGGAUGGGCGGCUUAUCAGCUUGUUGGUGGGGUAGUGGCUUACCAAGGCAUUGACGGGUAGCCGGCCUGGGAGGGUGACUGGCCACAUUGGGACUGCGGUACGGACCAGAGUCCAACGGGAGGCAGCAGUGGGGAAUAUUGCACAAUGGGCGGAAGCCGGAUGCAGAAACGCCGCGUGCGGGAUGACGGCCUUCGGGUUGUAAAACGCUUUCGCCUGUGACGAAGCGUGAGUGACGGUAAUGGGUAAAGAAGCACCGGCUAACUACGUG